rnacentral:rRNA from 1 species
AUUGAACGCUGGCGGCAGGCCUAACACAUGCAAGUCGAGCGAGCGGCGGACGGGUGAGUAAUGUAUGGGGAUCUGCGCGAUCGAGGGGGAUAACUAGUGGAAACGGUGGCUAAUACCGCCUACGCGCGGAUGAGCCCAUAUGGGAUUAGCUAGGGGGUGGGGUAAAGGCGCACCAUGGCGACGAUCCGUACCUGGUCUGAGAGGAUGAACAGCCACACUGGGACUGAGACACGGCCCAGACUCCUACGGGAGGCAGCAGUGGGGAAUAUUGGACAAUGGGCGAAAGCCUGAUCCAGCCACGCCGCGUGUGUGAAGAAGGUCUUCGGAUUGUAAAGCACUUUCAGCGGGGAGGCGUUACCCACAGAAUAAGCACCGGCUAACUCCGUGCCAGCAGCCGCGGUAAUUC